rnacentral:lncRNA from 1 species
AGCACUCGAGUGGUCCCGUUAUGGAGUUGUGUCGUGCCUGGCGAGUGUGCAGGAGCACGCUUACUUGCAAGGUCCGUUAUGGUUUCUAUGUGAAGGGCCCCCCCGAACAUGCAGGCAUUGAGGGCUCGCUCCCCAGUGCAGCCAUCUUCAGCAGUGGGCCCCAGGGAGGUGACUGGAUCAUGAGGGGCUGACCUCGCCAGUGGACUGAUCCACAGAAGAGGGUAAGCCACGGGGGCAUGACCUUGGGGACAGCAUCUUGACCCUGCCCCUUCCUCUCUAUGCUCUUUCACCAUCUUUGCAUCCAGCUGCUAUGAGGUGAGCAGUUUUGUCCCACCACACCCUUCUGCUAUGAUGCUCUGCCUCACCUCAGACCCGCAGCAAUGGAACAGGCCACCCAUGAACUAAAACCUCUGAAACCAUGAGCCAAAGUAAACUUUUCCUUCUUUAAGUUGUUUUUUUUCAGAUAAGAGGAAGAAAUGAAAUAAGCAAGCCCAGUUGAUUCUUCCCAAAUUUACCCAUCUGAUAAGCAGCCCCAUCAAUAUGCCAGGGGUGAAGUAAAUAGAGAGAUCUGGG